AUUGACAUGUUUCAACAUUAAUAACAUAUCUCUUUCCCCUUUUUUUGAAACUCUAUAAAUUGGUUUGUAUAGGUCAUUUUUCUAUGUAUCGAUUUCUUCCUUGGAUUAUUUUGAAGUUAAUAUUGCAGGUGCCCUGACUUCUGUUGGAAUCUAAUCAUCUAGCAUUCAGAAGAUACAUCAAAGAGUGAUCCAGGGAGCCUGGCUUGGACCUUCAACUUCAGCCUUACAGAUUGUCAUUGCCUUUCUGGGUAACCCUGGGAAAUGCUGCCACCAUUUUAUAUCUCCAGCUUAAAGCCUUUGGGUAAUUGAUUACCGCUUACUGGCAGAGAAAACAAAAGCUCAGCUGGGAGACUGAAAUGGAGGCACCUACUUUCAAGUCCAGUCUUUAAGAGAGGUAAACCACAUACCUAAGCCUUCCUAAUAGAUUCCAGAAAGAACAUCUAUGAAACUUCCCUUGAUCUUUUUUUUCUUACACAAAUUUAAAACUUUGAUCGCUUACAACCAAAAAGCAGUAUUUAAAGAAACAGCACAGGUCACUUUUAUUAUAUACAGCUCUGUUAGCAAGAUACUACCUUGAGUAGCUGUUUAAAGGGAUCACACUUCAAAAGGUAAUUGACCUAAAUUCUCCUUCCUGCUCUACACUCGGUGAGUCUUCCCCAUGUGCAGCCCUCCCAUGGAUCUCACACAUGGAAGAGUUACAGUGAGGUCCUGGGGAGCAUGAGAAUCUAGGUCACUGUGAUUAAAACUAAUUCAAACUUUAUUUUAAUACCUGUGUUUAGUUUGCUAAAAAUGCUCAACUUCAUUGGGUACCUAAGAGCUGACAGCCCCACUCUGGAAUGAACCAGAAGUUGAUUUACAGAGAAGAACACUCUAAAAUGAUCACACCUCUUCUGAUCCCAUCUGGUUGGGGAUAUGCUGAAAUGGAAUUCUGUGUUUCUGCUUUCAAAGUAUUUGUUUUGGUCUGAAUCAUGAACAAAAUUACAGAACACACACAUCUAAAAGAAGAAACUGUGCUCUAGCCAGUUGUCCUAUGAGUAGCCUAAUGCUAUCUAAUUUCUUUUGUUCAUCUCAAAGAGGUUUUUAUUUUGGCAGAUGUUCACUGAUUCAGUCACAUUAUCUGGUAAUUUUCCUAUUUCAUGUCCAUAUCAUUGCUUUGCCCCAAUGAUAUAAAGUAAAGCAUUUAUAAACUUAUAAAUUUGUAAGUAAACUUAUACAUUUAAGUGAUAUCUGGUAGUCAUAUUCUUAGGAUAAUUGUGCAAUUGGUUAAAGUUCUUUAGAACUUACUGGAACACUGAUUUAAAGUUUUAAAUGUCCAACACAUUUCCUAGUUGUGGAAAUCCCAUCAGCACCAACUAAUCAUUGUUCCAAACAUCUUUGGAAUGAAACAGAAUCAACAAACAUCUUUGGUACACAAUUUUCCUGGAGUGUUUUUAAGGCUUUCUCCCAUUAUUUUGGAAAACAAUAUUGUUGCUAUCAUUUUAGAACACUUCCAGAAGCCGACUUGGCAUUGAAGUUCUGACUCAUUUAUAAGACCAUCUGUUACAAAUCACAGCUUUCUGUUCGAUAGUUUCUGGACCAAGGCAUAUAUUUGACUGGAAAAAAUUGUUCUGUUACCUGAAGUUGUGUGUUAGCAAAGAAAGGCAUGAGAACCAAAUUUCUAACUAAUAUUAAUAUUUCUAAUAUGUGUCAUCAUAUGAGCAAGUGUCCUCAUUGUGUGUUCCCCAAACAAAAACAUAGCCAUUGUCCUUCAAAUUAUUAAACAGGAUAAAAAUAAAGAAAUAGACAUACAAUUUCUGAUACAUAAAAAGGGAAAUGUCUGGGGAAAGGAAACAAAAAUCAAGCUCUUUGGAUCCUGAGAUUAUAUGAAUAUAAGCAAAAACCCACAUGAAGUCACUUAAUAAUGAGGUCAAGAAUGCUGAAUAAUUUAACAUACCCUUGGAUCCUGAUUUGUAAUUGUCCAAAACUAAUAUUUCACAAGCCACAUUGCACCUUGUCACUGAAUUCUAUUUCACCCUCAAGAUAAUGUCCAAGUAUUAAUGGACCCAAUUUGGUGGAAAUUACCUAAUUGGCUGCAGUCACUUCAACUUGAAUGUGACAUUUUGGUCUGUUCUGUAGUCACAAGGAUACGUUAGAAGCCUGGGCAGCAGACUUGCUCUUUGUGAUAAUUGUAGCUGAAGCUUGUGUUAUCACUGAAGCUUAUUAUUUUGCAAGUUGUACACUCAGCUUUUUGUUAAAAUUGUAUUCUAAGGAAAAAUCCCUGAGGAGGCUGCUUUUCUCUCCUGGCUUUUCUAAAACCUCCAGAUGAGGAUGACCAAACAAAAUGCUCUAUGAUUGCACAUGCCACCAAAUAAAAUAUCUUAGUAUCAUACAUUAGUUAGAGAUCCUUAAGUCUCUGUUUUCUUUAGAUUGUGUGAUUAUUCAGUUAACCAAAUUACUGCUGGCAAAUGGCAUUAAUGAAGGGCAUUCCUUGUAUCUUAGGGUAAUUUUGUACCUCUUCAUUGGACAGGUAAAUGGGGAAUAAGAAGUGAGCUUCCUGCUCUAUUGUUGCCUGCUCCAUUUUGUGUCUAAGGCAUGAAAGCAGUAAGCUCACUCCUGCACAGUAGGAGGGCAUCACACAGUGGCCAUCUUUCUCUUGUCAGUAAUAAAAAGUAUCGUGCUUUAUAGUUUCAGGAGGAUAUUCCUUCCCUCUCUCCCUUUCUUUCUUCCUUCCUUGUAUAUUCAGAGUAAAUAAGAUGGUCCAUGCCCUUUGCUGGGCACUGAAGAUACAAAGAGAAAUAAAUAUAGUCUCUGCCCUCAAUACGCUCCCUGGUUAAGGAGAGAGGAAGAAUAACCAGCCAAUCAUUAUCCUGUACAGUGAGCAUUCUAACCAUGUGUACUACAGAAAAUGCUGAGAGGACAGGAAGCCUCACAGAGAAAGUAAGCUUGUGGCCAGAUCUUGGAAGGUGAACAGGUGUUUACAGCUUGAGAAAGAGGAGUGAAGAGAGGGGACUGGGGAAGUUGUCACCUCAAGCAGAAGGGACAGCGAUGUGAGGACAUUAAGGCAUGAAAUAUGUGAGUGAAACGGCAGGUGAGGCCAGAUCACAAAGGACCUGUGUGCCUUGUCCAGGUGUCUGGAAUGUGUUGUAUGGUGCUUUUAUUUCAGCUGUUUCUCACAGUAGCCUGAGGAGACUGAUGUUAUCCAGCAGACCAGUGUCCUGAGAAAUUGAGGACCUACACUGUAGUAGGGUUCUGCCACCUACCACCACUUGUCAACUUGGAGCAAGUCACCAGGCCUCUUUGAGCUUAGAACACAUAUCACCUAUUUAACAUUUCUCUAUGUAACAAUAAUUUGAUAUAAAUGCUAUUGUCCUUUCAGCAACUGUCUGUUACUGCAUACUGUUAAUGUACUUUUCCUAGGCACUGGGUGCUAUUAGCUGACGAGAGCUAAUAUGGCAAACUGCAAUCUCCUCCCUCACCAGUGCACAUAGCCCACCACUCUUCAACCAGCCUCACCCAAUGAGCAUGCUCCCACACUACCCUGAGCAGACUGUCUUUCGCAAUGGUGGUGUUUAUUCUGCCGUGUUCUCUCUUUCUGCCAUUUAUUUUUGCUCCGUGAAGCAGUUUUGAUCCAUAAUGACUAACAAAAGAUGUUCAAGCGCUGGUGCUGGAGCAAAAAAAUAGUGUCAUGCUGGGUGUUCAAAUGCAAGUGUAAUAGCAGCUCAAGUGAAGUUCAAGGGGAUGGUUGGAGAGAGAGAGUGAAGGAGUGGGAGAGGGAGAAGCCAUUAGCAGGCAGUUAAAGAGCAGCAGUAGUGUGACUUGGGAAGGGCACCAUACAGAGCGGGGCAUCCUGGGAGGACUGCACGACACCUGUGAAAGCAGGCUGGGAGACAACUUGGCUGGAAGGAAGCCAUGACCUCAGGGAACCCGGAAGGAACAGAGUAGCCAUCAUCAGCCAUUGUCAUGAUACUGAGGGCAUGUCUCUGUAGGGUAUGUGUUUUCAGGACCAAAUGCAGCAUGAAGUCAGGUAGUGCACCCUUUUCUGAAAAGAAUGCAACCCCUGGGCAAGCCAUGGGGAAUUCAUGGUUUACUAAACUACAGAGUUUAGGAGCGUGGGCUCUGUAGCUAGGCCAUCUGGGUUUGAAGCCAGCUUUACCAUUUACCACCAGCUAGCUGUAUUACCUUGGAUAUUGAA